GAUGAAGAACGUAGCGAGAUGCGAUAAGUAAUGUGAAUUGCAGAAUUCAGUGAAUCAUCGAAUCUUUGAACGCACAUUGCGCCCGCCAGUAUUCUGGCGGGCAUGCCUGUUCGAGCGUCAUUUCAACCAUCAAGCCCCAGGCUUGUGUUGGGGACCUGCGGCUGCCGCAGGCCCUGAAAACCAGUGGCGGGCUCGCUAGUCACACCGAGCGUAGUAGCAUACACAUCGCUCAGGGCGUGCUGCGGGUUCCGGCCGUUAAACCCCUUUUUUACCCAAGGUUGACCUCGGAUCAGGUAGGAAGACCCGCUGAACUUAAGCAUAUCAAUAAGCGGAGGA
rnacentral:misc_RNA from 1 species